rnacentral:rRNA from 1 species
GUGGGGAAUCUUGCGCAAUGGGCGAAAGCCUGACGCAGCCAUGCCGCGUGGAUGAUGAAGGUCUUAGGAUUGUAAAAUCCUUUCACCGGUGAAGAUAAUGACUGUAGCCGGAGAAGAAGCCCCGGCUAACUUCGUGCCAGCAGCCGCGGUAAUACGAAGGGGGCUAGCGUUGCUCGGAUUUACUGGGCGUAAAGGGCGCGUAGGCGGACAUUUAAGUCAGGGGUGAAAUCCCGGGGCUCAACCUCGGAACUGCCUUUGAUACUGUGUGUCUUGAGUAUGAGAGAGGUGUGUGGAACUCCGAGUGUAGAGGUGAAAUUCGUAGAUAUUCGGAAGAACACCAGUGGCGAAGGCGACACACUGGCUCAUUACUGACGCUGAGGCGCGAAAGCGUGGGGAGCAAACAGGAUUAGAUACCCGUGUAGUCC